rnacentral:rRNA from 1 species
UAGUAAUGCGUGACCAACCUCGCCCCAUGCUCCAGAAUAGCUCUUGGAAACGGGUGGUAAUGNCUGGAUGCUCCAACUUGACGCAUGUCUUGUUGGGAAAGUGUUUAGUGGCAUGGGAUGGGGUCGCGUCCUAUCAGCUUGUAGGCGGGGUAAUGGCCCACCUAGGCUUCGACGGGUAGCCGGCCUGAGAGGGCGGACGGCCACAUUGGGACUGAGAUACGGCCCAGACUCCUACGGGAGGCAGCAGCC